rnacentral:rRNA from 1 species
CUGCUGCCUCCCGUAGGAGUUUGGGCCGUGUCUCAGUCCCAAUGUGGCCGUUCACCCUCCCAGGCCGGCUACUGAUCGUCGCCUUGGUGGGCUGUUACCCCGCCAACAAGCUAAUCAGACGCGGAUCCAUCGUAUACCACCGGAGUUUUUCACACCGUCUCAUGCGAGACUGUGCGCUUAUGCGGUAUUAGCACCUAUUUCUAAGUGUUAUCCCCCAGUAUACGGCAGGUUAUCCACGCGUUACUCACCCGUCCGCCA